AGUCACUUUUCACCUGAAAUGGAGCUAGAGAAGCAUUCCCUUAAUGAUUUUCCUCCCUCAGAAGUAAUGCCUAAAAAUGGGCCUCUAUUGGAGCAGCUAUCUCCCAUUAUAAAAGAGAAACAAAAUUCUCAAGAGUCUCACAAUCAGCAUGACUGUGUAAGUGAAGGUCCAGUAGAACCCAGGAAUCUGCACACUGUUAAAGGUUCACUGAGUUGUGACAAAAAUCUAAUCCCUGAUGAUACACAAAUUGUAAGUGCAGAUGAAAACUAUUUGAAGGGCAUAUUUGUUCAGGCAAAAGAACUAAUGCAGAAAAAUGAUCACCGUGUUUCAGCUGGCAUUGAGGUGAUGACAUCAAAUGCAACAUUUGAAGAGGUACACAAUGAGAAACUGCCAGAAGAUCCAAACAAGAGGCCAAAUGAAUCGACUUUCCUUGAUCCUUCGCAAAACAGUAAUUCAGCAGGUGGCACAAGCUCUACAAAGGAAAGGGAAUACAGUUCAAAUAUGAGUCAAGACUGCCCCACUGCCAACUUGCAAAUGGAGACAUCCUUUAAAUCCCUCGAGCAAACCACUUUACCUGACAAGGAAAUUAGUUCAAGGACGGCGUGUCAUGAUAAAGACAUAAAAAUGGCAAAAGAGCAAAUACUUCCAAGUGAAUCUUCACUCUCCUUGAAUGAAUCAAGCACAGAUGUGUUUCACUCGCCUAUGGUCCAUGAACCCAAUUCUGAUCAGUCACUUUCCACCAUGACCCCCACAGAUUCUGUCUUGUCACCUUUGACCUCUAAUUCACUGGAUUGCCUCACUCCUGGAGACUCCUGGUUGGGUGGAGGAAGUGGUGGAUGGAGAGCCCUGGGAACUGAAACACCAUACCGUGAUUCGGCCUACUUCUCUGACAGUGACUUGGAUGGUGGAGAGGGUUUAGGCAGAAGAGGCACUGAUGUACUUGGUGGGAAUCGAGGAAUAUUGGUGGGAAUUGAGGAAAAGAUUGAGGAUGAAGGACCACUGGAGAAUUUAGAAAAGGAAGUGGAGAUGAAACAACAUAUGCAUGAAUUGUGGGGUUCAAAUGAGAGAGUUGAUGUAGAGAAGGCUCUCAUACAAGGUGCUGUCACUUCAAGAGAUUCUCAAAGUGAAUUCAAUGCUGAGUUUAUUGCCAGGUUGUUUUCCAAUGGAGAGGAUGAGCCAAAUAAGGGAGUUCUAUUUAGCAACAGCUCCCUUAACAUCCAAAACUCCCCUCUAGUUAAAAAUAGUGAGCUGGUCACAUCUCACACAUUUCCAAAAGAAAGAGUGCUUCACGAUUCAGGUGCUACAGAUCUUAGACUGCUUGCUGACAUAGUCUCAAACCCUCAAAAACCUGUUUCUGGACCAGUUUGUCAAGAACAACUCAUAGAACAUUGCUCAUAUUUGCAAACAACGAAGUAUAAGGAGGCACGUUGUACAUCACCUGAAUUCCCAGUUGAUGAAAAGUCAUCAGACAAAAGUAAAUCCAGGUUAUCGCGGUUUUACAGCUUACAGUCUGACAAUUCUAAAUGCAUCAUCAGCCCUGAGAUAAAUACAAAGCUCAGCAAUGAUGACACCAAAUGCGGCCUGACCCAAUUCCUCUGGUCUGAGACAAAAGCUGAACAACCUACAGGAGAGGAAAAGGGUAAGCUUGAUAUCCAAGACAUAGAUGCAAAUGAACUAGGCUUGAGAAACCUCUCGUAUUCAGAAGAGAGUGAGGAUGAACAGGCAAAGGAGAGGCCUGAAAGGCAGCUAGCUGUAGGGGAGCUCUGCUUCACUAUCAAGGAAUCCCCCCAAAAUUCUGCCGACGAGAAAGUCAGCAGUAUGGAGAUCUCAAAAGAUGAAUGUUAUGAUGAAUUUGGCAGAGGUGCCUCAAUGGGUCUUGAACUGAAGGAGAAGGAGUUGUGGAGUGCCCUUGAGGAAGAUUUUGGUACAGAGGAGACUAUGAGAGGGGAAUUGAACUGCCAAACAUUUCAGCAGGCAGAACUUCACCUUUGGCCUGUAGAAAAUGACCAGUGGGCUGCAGCCGAAGAUCAGACACCAGAAACAGGGCUUGGAUCAGAGCUGUUCCCGAGUUUUGGAAAAAAGGCCUGGGGGGAGGAGGAACACUUAGUCGUGAGUCAUGAAUUUUGGGAAUCUGAAGCAAAUGAUGAGCUUGCAGAUAAUGAGUCUCAUCCCUCUACUCAGAGA
ensembl:lncRNA